CCUACGGGAGGCAGCAGUGAGGAAUUUUGCGCAAUGGGCGAAAGCCUGACGCAGCGACGCCGCGUGGAGGAUGACGGCCUUCGGGUCGUAAACUCCUGUCAGAGGUGAAGAAUCCCCGCAAGGGGUUGACGGUAACCUCAAAGGAAGCCCCGGCUAACUACGUGCCAGCAGCCGCGGUAAUACGUAGGUGGCCAGCGUUAUCCGGAUUUACUGGGCGUAAAGCGCGUGCAGGCGGUUCUGUAAGUCGGACGUGAAAGCUCCUGGCUUAACUGGGAGAGGUCGUUCGAUACUGCGGGGCUUGAGGUCGGGAGAGGGACGUGGAAUUCCCGGUGUAGUGGUGGAAUGCGUAGAUAUCGGGAGGAACACCAGUGGCGAAGGCGGCGUCCUGGCCCGCACCUGACGCUAAGACGCGAAAGCGUGGGUAGCGAACAGGAUUAGAUACCCUGGUAGUCCACGCUGUAAACUAUGUCAACUAGGUGUUGGUAGUGUUACACUAUCAGUGCCGAAGCAAACGCGUUAAGUUGACCGCCUGGGGACUACGAGCGCAAGCUUAAAACUAAAGGAAUGACGG
rnacentral:rRNA from 1 species